rnacentral:rRNA from 1 species
CAGCGACGCCGCGUGAGGGAUGACGGCCUUCGGGUUGUAAACCUCUUUCAGUAGGGAAGAAGCGAAAGUGACGGUACCUGCAGAAGAAGCACCGGCUAACUACGUGCCAGCAGCCGCGGUAAUACGUAGGGUGCGAGCGUUAUCCGGAAUUAUUGGGCGUAAAGAGCUCGUAGGCGGUUUGUCGCGUCUGUCGUGAAAGUCCGGGGCUUAACCCCGGAUCUGCGGUGGGUACGGGCAGACUAGAGUGCAGUAGGGGAGACUGGAAUUCCUGGUGUAGCGGUGGAAUGCGCAGAUAUCAGGAGGAACACCGAUGGCGAAGGCAGGUCUCUGGGCUGUAACUGACGCUGAGGAGCGAAAGCAUGGGGAGCGAACAGGAUUAGAUACCCUGGUAGUCCAUGCCGUAAACGUUGGGCACUAGGUGUGGGGACCAUUCCACGGUUUCCGCGCCGCAGCUAACGCAUUAAGUGCCCCGCCUGGGGAGUACGGCCGCAAGGCUAAAACUCAAAGGAAUUGACGGGGGCCCGCACAAGCGGCGGAGCAUGCGGAUUAAUUCGAUGCAACGCGAAGAACCUUACCAAGGCUUGACAUGUUCUCGAUCGCCGUAGAGAUACGGUUUCCCCUUUGGGGCGGGUUCACAGGUGGUGCAUGGUUGUCGUCAGCUCGUGUCGUGAGAUGUUGGGUUAAGUCCCGCAACGAGCGCAACCCUCGUUCCAUGUUGCCAGCACGUAAUGGUGGGGACUCAUGGGAGACUGCCGGGGUCAACUCGGAGGAAGGUGAGGACGACGUCAAAUCAUCAUGCCCCUUAUGUCUUGGGCUUCACGCAUGCUACAAUGGCCGGUACAAUGGGUUGCGAUACUGUGAGGUG